CGGCGACCGGCGCACGGGUGAGUAACGCGUAUCCAACCUGCCCAUAACUAAGGGAUAACCCAGCGAAAGUUGGACUAAUACCUUAUGUAUUCGUUUGAUCUCAUGAGAUUACGAAUAAAGAUUUAUCGGUUAUGGAUGGGGAUGCGUCUGAUUAGCUUGUUGGCGGGGUAACGGCCCACCCAAGGCAACUAUCAGUAGGGGGUUCUGAGAGGAAGGUCCCCCACAUUGGAACUGAGACACGGUCCAAACUCCUACGGGAGGCAGCAGCA
rnacentral:rRNA from 1 species